AGUGAACGCUGGCGGUAGGCCUAACACAUGCAAGUCGAACGGCAGCACAGUAAGAGCUUGCUCUUACGGGUGGCGAGUGGCGGACGGGUGAGGAAUACAUCGGAAUCUACUUUUUGUGGGGGGAAAAGGUGGGGAAACUUCCGCUAAUACCGAAUACGACCUACGGGUGAAAGAAGGGGAUCUUCGGACCUUGGCCGUUUGAAUGGGCCGAUGUCGGAUUAGCUAGUUGGCGGGGUAAAGGCCCACCAAGGCGACGAUCCGUAGCUGGUCUGAGAGGAUGAUCAGCCACACUGGAACUGAGACACGGUCCAGACUCCUACGGGAGGCAGCAGUGGGGAAUAUUGGACAAUGGGCGCAAGCCUGAUCCAGCCAUACCGCGUGGGUGAAGAAGGCCUUCGGGUUGUAAAGCCCUUUUGUUGGGAAAGAAAAGCAGCAGGUUAAUACCCCGCUGUUCUGACGGUACCCAAAGAAUAAGCACCGGCUAACUUCGUG
rnacentral:rRNA from 1 species